rnacentral:rRNA from 1 species
UACGUAGGUGGCGAGCGUUGUCCGGAUUUACUGGGCGUAAAGGGAGCGUAGGCGGACUUUUAAGUGAGAUGUGAAAUACUCGGGCUCAACUUGAGUGCUGCAUUUCAAACUGGAGGUCUAGAGUGCAGGAGAGGAGAAUGGAAUUCCUAGUGCAGCGGUGAAAUGCGCAGAGAUUAGGAAGAACACCAGUGGCGAAGGCGAUUCUCUGGACUGUAACUGACGCUGAGGCUCGAAAGCGUGGGGAGCAAACAGG